UUUCCUCUCUUUCGCGAGAAGGGUCCAAUCACAGCCGAGAGGUUCAGAUUUCAGCUCCUCCCUCUGGGCCAGCUGUGAGCAGAGGAGGAAUCUGUUGUCAGACUAAAUUAUUCUGGUUCAAAAUGGGCUGUGCCCCGGCUUUCAGUGGAGAGGAAAAAAGUGCUUCAGUCUUUUCGGGAGAGGUCGUUUUCCUUCCUGAGCGCAGAGCCGGGCGUCUUUACUCCGGGUGCGCUGGGUCCGCCGGCCGGGCCUGGCUUCCAGGUGCGGGCUCCGCGCCGGCUGGGGAGGCUGGGCUCUGGGCUCCUGGAGCCUCGUGGCUUUGGAGAGGUUUGGCGCGCACAGGAACGGAGCAAUUCACUCCUGGCUUUUGAAAAAGGAAGGUAGCGGCGAAGACAAAGCCCCAGUGAGUGAGCCGCGGGCCUGCAAGGGGGCAGCCCGGGCCGAGACCCGCCCGCUUCGCGCGCUGGGGAUGCGCUUCGUGUCCCGGCGGCUGGGGGUGGGGGGUGGGGACGCUUCCUCGGGAAAUAAAGCGGUCGUGUCACUUGUUAACGUCCGGGCUUGAAAGAAGCGCUUUGCGUCCCCCGAAGGACCCACUUCCAGGGAGAAGCGGGCCCCCCAGGAUGAGAGGGAAGGAUAAACUGAGGUCCCUGCCGUGGGAAUAUGGAAAGGGCUCUCCCAGAGGCCUCUGAGAAGCGCUUCUAUCUUUUCAUGCAUCACUAGGUGUUUUUUUUUUUUUUUUUAAUGGAAAAAAGCGUGAAUGAGCCGUUAGGGACAAUAGUUUCAAACAUUUAUUUGCUUUAUGUGGUGCUGGUUUUUCAGUAUAAAGUCACCGCAUCAUCUCUCUGCUACUCUCCUGUGUGGCGUUUUAAAAGAAAGGGUGCCUCCUCUGUAGCGCUUGGUUAAGUUUCUAAACUAGCUGGGUAACUAGCAAAAACACCUUGAUUUUGUGCACGGUAUUGAGUCGAAAAAUACACUAGAGUGGCUCGUUGUAAAAAUGACAUUUCAACCAUGUUUUCAAGCAUCUCUCAUCCUUUCCACCUCUUGCUUAAAGAUUAAGGAAAGAACAAAUCUGCAGUCAGACCACCCUACCCUUGAUUCGAACAGGUGCUGGGAGGAAAAAAAAAAACAAAAAAACAACAAGUGGAAAAAUAACAGUUGAAGUCAAGACUUGCAAGAGGAAGGCGCAUGUCUGGCACAUAACUUCUUAAUCUUGAGGUGAGGCGGCAGGGAGGGCGGGGCCCCGAGGGCGGGGCCCCAGCUGCCUGGGCUAUUGUGGAGGAUCCCUGUACCUUCCUUCCAAGAGUCACUGGUUCAACCACCAGAGAAAGGAAUUUAGAUGAACCUUUAUGUUGAAAGAAGCAGUUUUCCUGGGUGCCAGGAAAGUAGGAAUAUGCAUCAGAGUCCUCCAUAAACCAUGAACUGCAGGAUAACCCAGAGCAACUUUCUGAACUUCUGUUUCGUGAGGGAGUGGCUACCCACUCCAGUAUUCUUGUCUGGAGAAGUCCAUGCACAGAGGAGCCUGGCAGGCUACAAUCCAUGGGGUGGGUUUCAAAGAGUUGGACUCGACUGACCGACUAGCACUUUCAUUUCAGAUUGGCCGGUUUACUGGGACAGGAGCCCUCCUCGCCCCUCCCAGCCCGUUUCCUGCAGGAGGCACUUUGUCAGGGACGCGACCCCCUUGAGAAAACCCAGAUGCCAAUGCGCUGACUUCCUCCUUCAGCUCCACCCAGAGUCUGCUCAGCACAGUGAGGGGGCUGCAGGCAUUCUGGUGUUUGUUUGUUGGUCGAUAAUUACAGCACAGGGUGACCUGCUUAAGUGUGUAUGUGAACAAUCCGCUCUAAGAGCUGAACAGUAUUUCACUCCUCAAGGGAUAGCCCUUGGAUCUGCGUUACAGAUGCCUCGUCACGUGGACAUUGGGCAGAGUCGGACGUGUUCCCGCGCCUGCCAGGCGGCGAGGGUGUCAGGAGCCUGUCUGAGGCGUGUUCUCGCACAGGUCUGCCAGGCCCGUGUGAGGUCCGCUCUGCUGCAGGAAGGGCCAGCCCCAGGGACGUGGAUGGAAAUCGGGUACACACGUGUGUCUGCUCAGGAACGUCAGCGUGAGGGACACACACACAUGUGUGUGCAAAGGAGAACCGAGGUAAGGAACCAUGGGGAGCAGGCUGUCUGUGUCCUGUGUGGUGUGUGGGUGUUCGUCCUUCCUGGGUGUGCGGGGCCUCCACUGGCCAGUCUCCCUGCCACAGGUUCUGUGUGUGUCCAUCUGGCUUUGAUGUUGUGGUCAGGAGACACCACAAAUGCUAUACAUCUGACACCAAGCAGAAAAUCUUGCUGAGCGUGGGGACAGCAUGAGAUGCGUUUUAUGUUGAAUCCCUUGGAUUCUGAACCUCACUUCCAGCUAUGGUUUUCGAGUCCCUCUUGCCUCUGGCGGCUGCCCUGCGGUUACUGUGUCAUUCAAGGUCAAAGACAUGCGGGCCCCCGAUGUCUUGUCUGUACUUGUGGACUCUGCAGUUAGAGGAACAGGAAAGACUGCAGAGAGAGGGUGUUUGUCCUCCGCGCUGCGGUUCCGGGAUCUGUGGGCACGCAACGACCCCUGCUGGUGGGCUCUGGAAGGCACCUGCUUUCCUUUCCAGACUCUAGCAAGACCUGUCACCUCCCGAUGGUGGACGAACAACCUGCACACCCAGGACAGGAGCUUGACCUCAUUUUGUAAUUGCCCCACUUUCAGGAGACUGUUAUUUAAACCCUGACUUUUUUUUAAAACUCUGUUCUGAAUUAACGAUGGCUUACUUGGUUUGUGGAAACACAAGUGGCGUUUACAGGUGUGCUAUGUCCCUUAUAUGACGGUGAGCAGGGUGACUGUGGUUGAUCUGGGCUGUCAUGAGGAAACCUUGUAUUGGGACUGGGAACUGAGUGUGGGAGGGGCUGGAGCACGGGAACUGGGGGUCCUCCGAGGCAGGGCUGCCCCUUGGCCCUUGGCCAAGAAAGUGAGGUGUGGCCCUGCCCAGGUGUGGACUUUCUCAGCCUCACUGGGAUUAGAUCUGACACUUCUGGUCUCCAGAUAAGGCACCCACAGGGGUAUCCACGGUGCUGGGAGCCAGGCCACCUUAUGCUGGGAUGUGAUUCAUCAGCUUCUGCAGACCCUCCUCCAAAGCCUUUAAAGGCAUCACAAUAGAAAGAAUGAUCCUCAACUUCAGAACUCCUGUGCAUUUAGCAUCCUGUCCUCCUCUGUCCUCCCCAGCCCAGGAGGGGUCCAGCCUAAUGCCUCCGUGAGGAUGCCACCUGCCUGGUUAAUUUCGGUUACCUCCUCUCGUCCUGCACAUCAAAUGUCCGGCGCUACGCAGAGAUUACAGGUGCCACUGAGAUGGCAAUCAUGCCUCCACCCAGGAGAGACCCUCACUUGUGGAAGGAGAGGACAGAGGGACUUGGGUUCCGAGUGUGAAGGAAGACUUGGACCCCACACACCCCAGCGGAACAGCCUCUGUAGUACAUCAUGAGAAACGCUGGGCUGGAGAAAGCACAAGCUGGAAUCAAGAUUGCCGG